ensembl:lncRNA
GUUAUUUUAAAGAUGUCUCUCACUGGUAUUUGUACAGUUAAUUAGCACAAUACUUUAGCUUUACACAUUUGCUUUCAGAAUAAGCUACUUUACAUUUGUUGUUCUAGUAGUAGCAUGAUCUUUUAUUUUAAACAGGUGGGCCCAACAUAUGGCCGCAAAAUGAUGAAGGGCUAUCUGUCCACAAAAGGGGUACAUGCUGCAGAGGGACGAAUUGGGUCAAUUUUAAGAGAGGUGCAUCAACCUUAUCAUGAAGCAAGACGCCAGGGAGCUCGGAAUCUUAAUCCCACACCGUACCAUGCUGAAUGCAUGGGGCACAAGGUUCACCUGGACCAAAACGAGAAACUUGUAAUGUUUGGAGUCACCCAUGUUUUAGCUGUAGAUGGAUUCAGUAAAAAGAUUGUGAGUCAUUCCACAAUGCCAAUCAAAAACAACUUGAGCAUCUAUGAAUAUGUUUUCAGACCUGCAGUGAUCACCUAUGGUAUGUGGGACCAGGUGCGAGUAGACCAUGGAAAGGAAUUUUAUUUAACACUGUUCAUGCAAGAGAUGCUGUCACAUCAUCGCUUCAAUCAGGAGAGACUGCCUUAUUUACAGACCUCAUCCACAAGAAACCACACAGUUGAAAGGAUUUGGCCUGAAAUCAACAACCGUGUCAACUACCCACUAAAAACUGCCCUACUCCAGCUGAUGGACCAGGAGGAGAUAGAUAUGGAGGAUAACCUUGUGCGAUACUGUGUGUCCAAUCUAACCUGUCAGCUGUGUAACAUUGGUCUUGCAAGUGUGGUAGAAUCAUGGAAUGCUCAUAGAAUCCCAGGAAAAGGCAUACCAAAUCACUUUGCAGAACAUGGGUGUAAAAGAAGAAUUUCUCCAGAGCUCUUGCCAAAUGCACUUGAAGCAGCAGACCUUUACAG